GAUGAACGCUGGCGGCGUGCCUAAUACAUGCAAGUCGAGCGAACAGACGAGGAGAUUGCUCCUCUGACCUUAGCGGCGGACGGGUGAGUAACAAGUGGAUAACCUAACUAUAAGACUGGGAUUAAUACGGGAAACCGGAGCCAAUACAGGAUAAUAUAUUGAACCGAAAGGUAUAAUAGUGCAAGACGGUUUUGCUGUCACUUAUAGAUUGAACCACGCCGGAUUAGCUAGGUGGUAAGGUAACGGCUUAACAAGGCAACGAUGCGCAGCCGACCUGAAAGAGGGAACGGGCACACUGGAACUGAGACACGAUCCAGACACCUACGGUAGGCAGCAGUAGGGAAUCUUACGGAAUGAACGAAUGCCUAACAUAGCAAAGCCGCGGGAGUUAUGAUGGUCUUCGGAUCGGUAAACUCAGUAAUUAGGGAAGUAGAAAUGUUUAUGUAACUAUGCAGGUCUUGACGGUACCUAAUCAGAAAGCCACGGCUAACUACGUG
rnacentral:rRNA from 1 species